rnacentral:rRNA from 1 species
UACGGAGGGUGCGAGCGUUAAUCGGAAUCACUGGGCGUAAAGCGCGCGUAGGCGGCUUUUCAAGUCAGGGGUGAAAUCCCACGGCCCAACCGUGGAACUGCCUUUGAAACUGUAGAGCUUGAGUGUCGGAGAGGGUGGCGGAAUUCCAGGUGUAGGAGUGAAAUCCGUAGAUAUCUGGAGGAAUACCGGUGGCGAAGGCGGCCACCUGGACGACAACUGACGCUGAGGUGCGAAAGCGUGGGUAGCAAGCAGG